rnacentral:rRNA from 1 species
UCGAGAAUCUUCGGCAAUGGACGCAAGUCUGACCGAGCGACGCCGCGUGCGGGAUGAAGGCCUUCGGGUUGUAAACCGCUGUCGUAGGGGAGGAAAUUCCGGAGGGUACUCCCUCCGGAUUGACUGAUCCUAGGAGGAAGGACCGGCUAAUCUCGUGCCAGCAGCCGCGGUAAUACGAGAGGUCCAAACGUUAUUCGGAAUCACUGGGCUUACAGAGUUCGUAGGCGGCUCUACAAGUGAGGUGUGAAAGCCCUCGGCUCAACCGAGGAACUGCGCUUCAAACUGUAAAGCUAGAGGAAGAUAGAGGUGAGCGGAACUGAUGGUGGAGCGGUGAAAUGCGUUGAUAUCAUCAGGAACACCGGAGGCGAAGGCGGCUCACUGGGUCUUUUCUGACGCUGAGGAACGAAAGCUAGGGGAGCAAACGGG